rnacentral:rRNA from 1 species
AGAGUUUGAUUAUGGCUCAGGACGAACGCUGGCGGCGUGCUUAACACAUGCAAGUCGAACGAAGAGCGAUGGAAGCUUGCUUCUAUCAAUCUUAGUGGCGAACGGGUGAGUAACGCGUAAUCAACCUGCCCUUCAGAGGGGGACAACAGUUGGAAACGACUGCUAAUACCGCAUACGAUCCAACCUCGGCAUCGAGGAUGGAUGAAAGGUGGCCUCUAUUUAUAAGCUAUCACUGAAGGAGGGGAUUGCGUCUGAUUAGCUAGUUGGAGGGGUAACGGCCCACCAAGGCAAUGAUCAGUAGCCGGUCUGAGAGGAUGAACGGCCACAUUGGGACUGAGACACGGCCCAG